rnacentral:rRNA from 1 species
CAGGACGAACGCUGGCGGCGUGCCUAACACAUGCAAGUCGAACGGGAUCCCCUGGAUUCGUCUGGGGGUGAGAGUGGCGAACGGGUGAGUAACACGUAGGUGACCUGCCCCAAAGGGGGGAAUAACUGCUGGAAACGGUGGCUAAUACCCCAUGUGCUCGAUGGUUCGGUCCGUCGAGUAAAGCUCCGGCGCUUUGGGAGGGGCCUGCGGCCCAUCAGGUAGUUGGUAGGGUAAUGGCCUACCAAGCCGAUGACGGGUAGGGGGCGUGAGAGCGUGAACCCCCACACUGGCACUGAGACACGGGCCAGACUCCUACGGGAGGCAGCAGUGAGGAAUAUUGCCCAAUGGACGCAAGUCUGAGGCAGCAACGCCGCGUGGGCGAUGAAGGCCUUCGGGUUGUAAAGCCCUUUUCUGGGGGACGAGGAAGGACGGUACCUCAGGAAUAAGUCACGGCUAACUACGUGCCAGCAGCCGCGGUGAUACGUAGGGUGCGAGCGUUGUCCGGAUUUAUUGGGCGUAAAGAGCUUGUAGGCGGUCGGUCACGUCGAAAGUGCAAACUCAGGGCUUAACCCUGAGCCUGCUUUCGAUACGGGCUGACUAGAGGAAGGUAGGGGAGAAUGGAAUUCCCGGUGGAGCGGUGGAAUGCGCAGAUAUCGGGAGGAACACCAGUGGCGAAGGCGGUUCUCUGGACCUUUCCUGACGCUGAGAAGCGAAAGCGUGGGGAGCAAACAGGCUUAGAUACCCUGGUAGUCCACGCCGUAAACGGUGGGUACUAGGUGUGGGGGACAUUCCACGUUCUCUGUGCCGUAGCUAACGCAUUAAGUACCCCGCCUGGGGAGUACGGCCGCAAGGCUAAAACUCAAAGGAAUUGACGGGGCCCCGCACAAGCGGCGGAGCAUGCGGAUUAAUUCGAUGCAACGCGAAGAACCUUACCUGGGUUUGACAUAUACCGGAAACGCCUAGAGAUAGGCGCCCCGCAAGGUCGGUAUACAGGUGGUGCAUGGCUGUCGUCAGCUCGUGUCGUGAGAUGUUGGGUUAAGUCCCGCAACGAGCGCAACCCUCGUCCAAUGUUGCCAGCGGAUAACGCCGGGGACUCAUUGGAGACCGCCGGGGUCAACUCGGAGGAAGGUGGGGAUGACGUCAAGUCAUCAUGCCCCUAAUGUCCAGGGCUUCACGCAUGCUACAAUGGCCGGUACAAAGAGCUGCAAGCCUGUAAAGGUAAGCGAAUCUCAAAAAGCCGGUCUCAGUUCGGAUUGGGGUCUGCAACUCGACCCCAUGAAGUCGGAGUCGCUAGUAAUCGCAGAUCAGCAACGCUGCGGUGAAUACGUUCCCGGGGCUUGUACACACCGCCCGUCAAGUCAUGAAAGUCGGUAACACCCGAAGCCGGUGGCCCAACCCUUUUGGGAGGGAGCCGUCGAAGGUGGGACUGGUAAUUAGGACU